CCAAAGUUGAUCCUCUCUUCGAGUCUACAUUGGGAGAUGAACCGAGUGAUUCCUUUGCCUGGUGGAUUUGAAUAUUGAACUCUGUCAUGCUUGAAACAAUUCUAGAUGCUGAUGAAAUAUUCUCAGUACUCCUCCUCGAUCCGUAAGUUCUUUUAAUUGUAUUUUAUUUACUUCAAUUCCAUAAUAACUUGCAAGCCUUUGUCAUAUUGUAUUUUUUUUUUGUUAUUUUAGACUCCUAGUAGAACAUGCCUUUUGAGUGGUGAAUAGAUAUUGGAACAGUUACCAAACCUCAGCUUUAGUACCGCCUAAUUGCUUGCCAGGUAAUGAUUGAUGCCAAGCUCCCAAUAAUUUUUUGCUACUAACGAAGUUGCUGUUAGUCAUUGUAAAAAGUCUGGCUUGUAAUAUUUUUUUUUUUAACAUUAUACAUUAAAGCUUCACUCCCAAAUCAUUUAAUGGAGAAGACGAAACCCAAAUUUUCAGAUUUUCUGUUCUUUUUCUUCCUGCAUUUUGUGAUUGUUUCAUUUAUUCUUUUUUAGGUGAUUCUAGUUUUUUUUCGGGGCCAUCUCACUUUGAUAAAGAUUUAGGCUCUUUCUUCGGAUAUUCUCCAAGAUGGACUAUAACUUUUCGCAGUGAAGAAACAUUCAUUUCGAGCAAUUAAUUUGUCGAGCGAGUAAUCAUUAAAAGUAAUCAUUAAACGUACAAGGGGAGGACCUCCUAGGUGGCCGAACCCUAUAGGGGGUGAAACCUAAGGGUCUUGGCCUCAUCCUUUAUAUUUUUUAGUCCUUCCUUUACUCUUCCACUCGAACGACAUCCUUUGUUUAUGUGUUUUUACUUGUUUCAUCUUUUAGGCAACUCUAAUAUUUCUUUUGUCUUCCGAACCCUAUUAUCUUGAUCAUAUCUUGGUUUUUUCCCUCAGAUCAUAAAGAAAAAUUGACGUUUUUUUGACAAAACACGAAGGAAAAAAUGUUUCUUCUUUCCUUUAUUUUCUGAACCUCAUUACCUUAAUCAUAUCUUGAUUUUUUUCCUCGAAUCAUAAAGAAAGAUUAACGUUUUUUGACAAAACACGAAGGAGAAAAUGCUCCUCAGCGGGACCACCCUAGAUGGCCGAACCCUAGGGAAAAAAAUCAGCAAAUGAAGGCAAAAAAUUGAGUCCAAAAAGGGUGCAUGGUCGUUAUUUUGACCAUAACUUUUGAUUCGCUUAGAAUUACAAGACCCAUAAUAUAUCAAAUCGAAGCUAGAGAUGAGCCUUACAAAAAUUAUUGCCUUUGGCUAUGAUAGAUACCGUUAUAUGUCCAAAAAAGGCUUUGAAAGUUUUUCAAAAAAGUUCAAAAAAAAAUUCUUGCGUACUUCUGAUUUCUAACUUUCCCUGACUUUAUUUCUUUUUCUUUUUAGGUGUUCUUAAGUUUAAAUCUCAGAAUUGCUUCUUUAUUAUGGUAAGCACUUAAGUUUAAAUCCUUUCCUUUACAUCAUUUCCUUGCUCUUUAGAGUCCUUAUACUGAAUUUUCCUUGAUUACAGGCCCUUUCCACUGGACGUUCUGCCAUCCCAAAAACCACCACAAAGACCCAUUCAUCAAUGAGUGGGAAGGGUUGUGACACCCCCAAAAUAGGUCCAAUCCAUCCAACCUAUUCUGAGUCGCCAAAUAAAUGGUACAGAAAAUAACUACAAUUUUAUUACUGCAAUUGUCAUGCAAAAUAUAACAACACAUAUGUUGUGAGUUUUGAUACAAAUAUAUAUACCAACUGUGACUCUUGACACCAACUUGGAUAGCACGUUACAAUGGCACCUUACAUAAAGGUACAGUCAAAAACUGUUUUAAAAAUUAAAUUUUUUGGGAAGUGCUCAAGGAAACCUUUGUACAUGGGAGGCCAUGCGUCUAGGUUAUGAUAGAUAUCAUAUGUCCACAGAAUUAUCCUUGGUUGACCCAAUAGACCCCAAAGAAAAACGAGAAGAUUACUAUCAUGCUCUUUCUAAUGGUGAGUCUUCUCUUGACAUAUAACUAUCUCCACUGUCUGCAAUUGAAAAUUAUAUUUCAACCACACUCUAAGAUCAUAUAGGUAGUGCUCGUAGAUAUACUUAGCAAGUGAAUGUGCACAACCCUGUCUUAUGAUAACACGAGAUUGUAUGUCAUUAGACAUCUUGUAUGAUAGUGGUAAAACACUCUUCCAACGUUGGGUUCGCCUCACCCUAUUGUUGUUCACCAAAAUUAAUUAUUAAGUGACGUAUAAUAUACGGCACACACAUCUUAGGUCCUCAAUACAAUUAUAUAUUGUAUGUCAUGCCGUUUUAUAAUGUGUUGAGAAACUUUGACAGUCUCGGACCAUCACACUAUUCCCCUGAUAUCCCCGCUCGACCCAACUACACUCUUAUUACCUGAAAAGGAAUUGUGAAGCAAAAGGGUAAGCACAACUAGCUCAGUAAGAAUAUCAUGACUAAAGAUAAUUAAAUUAUCAAUAGCCUUCAUCAGAAAUAAAUCAGAGAUUUAGAACAUAUGGUAGAUGAUAAAACUUUUCAACCAUAGUUGCAGCGGAAUGAGCAAUCCAUUAGAAGAGUCAAAUAGACCAUAAAGUCUAUUAUCUUCUCCAUGUUAAAAGUCCACCAACAAUGUUUUAUCCCUGUAACAUCAAUCAACAGUUCCUGUCCACAUUCAUGUGAAUAACUCAUAAUCAUAAUUGUGGUUCUAAAUUCCUCUUCUCAUCCAGGACAAAGAUAAUUUUCAUCAUUUGUCUUAACCUGAAACAUCAAAGAUCAUAGUUAUACCAAAUAAUAAUUCUUGUUCAUAAUCAUACUAAUAAAUUCAUCUUUGCACUACGGGCCAAAGAUAUUCAUCAACAAGUCAUCUUUGCACUACGGGCCAAAGAUAUUCAUCAACAAGUCAUCUUUGCACUACGGGCCAAAGAUAUUCAAAAAUAGGUCAUCUUUGCACUACGGGUCAAAUAUAUUCAUCAAUAAUUCAUCUUUGCAUUACAUGCCAAAUAUAUUAAUAUCUCAAAGAAAUACAUAAUCAUUUCAGAAUUUAUAUAAACUAUAAUUAUAACCAUGUUGAUCAAUUCACCUUUGCACUUAAGCUAAAAAUAUUCAAUUUUAAAUUCAAUGGUCAUGAUCAUACCAGUCAACGAUUCAACUUUGCACUACAGGCCAAAGAGAACCCAUAGUCACGAUCAUACCAAUAAUCUACCCAUCUUUACACUCAAGUCAAAGAGAAUUUUUUCCACAAGGAUUAUAAAAAUGUUAUAUAUGAUAAUAAAAAUAAUAUUAUCAAAACAUGGAUUUAAUUUCAAGAGUAAGAUUCAUAAAUCAACGAUAAUUUGGUCAGAAAAAGAAACCAAUUUUGUCAUAAAUAGUAACUCGUGAAUAGUAACUCGUGAAUAGUAACCCCGACAUGAAAAAGGUAGAAAUUCCACAAUAAAAUCUAUACCAAUAUUUCGGUAUAAUGAUAUUAAAAGAAUAACAUUUCUUAAACUUCUAAACAAUUUAUUUUAAUUGAUUACACUUUACUAAUUAAUGCAUUUAAUCAUCCUAAAAUGCCAAACUCAUAAGAUUUCAUCAUCAAUAACCAAAAUCCUCAUCAAAAAUCUGUAUAUACCUUACAUAGGAUUCUCAAACCAUAAAAUCUUAUUUUCUAAUUUUCUUACUUCACAUAACAUAUUUAAUUCAUUUACUCAUAACUAGACCAUUUUCAUGAAAAAUACCAAAUCAGUUUCAAAAAUAUUUCUUUUCUGGAAUUUAGCAUAAUAUAGUCCCAUAUUGAACAUAUAUUUUUCUCAGAAUUUUUAAAAUUCAUUUACUAUUUUUCACAUGGCCAAAACUGCCAAAUAUUUAGACAUUUAUCAUAAAUUGUACGUUUGUCCAAAAAUUCCAAAAUUUACAGAGUAUACUUAUGUUAUAUAUAUGUACUCCCAAUAAAAAUUUCACUAAUUUUGGAGUUAACCACAAGGAGUUAUAAGAGUUUACUUUUAAAAUAGUCUCUUCCCAUAAAAUUCAUAACUCUUAAUCUAUACAUCCAAAAAUCACCAUUUUUGGACACAAUCAAUAAAACUCAUUAAAUUAUCAUUUCAAAUUUUUCCAGAAUUUUUGAAGGUAUGAAAAGUUACGAAACAUGAAAAAAAUAACAACCCUUAAAAAUCCCUUACCUCACAAGAGCAGUACUUCUAACCGGAAUAUCGGAUGUAAAGCCGAAAGAACCUUGCACUGAAUAGCAACUCUCAAAGUAUCUAAAUACUCACAAAAAUAUGCUUGAUAAUAUAAAGAGAGAAAACUUAUUUCUGGUGUGAUUUUUAAUUCUAACAUAAGCACCUAUUUAUAGGAAAAUGCUAGAACACCAAAGGACACUAAAUUAAUAAAAUAAUAUAUUUAUUUUAUUCCUACGCAGGCAAGUUGAAAAUUCCAGCCCACCAUACUUGAAGCUUUAAUUCAGCACAUGCUUUCAAUUAAAAACAAAAGUGGGGCCCACCUUCUAGAAUAUUUCCACCAAAAUCAUUUACAAAAAUAAUUUUCGAAUCAGUCACCUCUUAAAAUUCAUAACAAAUCAUACGUUAAUUUUUAACGGUUCAAAAUUUGUGGAUAUGUACUCAACUUAUAUAUGUAUAACAUAUCCAAAAAUCACAACGAUNNNNNNNNNNNNNNNNNNNNNNNNNNNNNNNNNNNNNNNNNNNNNNNNNNNNNNNNNNNNNNNNNNNNNNNNNNNNNNNNNNNNNNNNNNNNNNNNNNNNCUGUCACCACGAAAAAUUCACAAAGAAUUUUUGGGUGAUUCCAAUUUUUACGGUUAGCUUACUUCCAGGGCUUUCUUUUGAUAUAUGGCUCAUCUCCUAACUCAUUAUACACCAAGAGUUAUGGAUUAUACAAAAUCAAGUAAUAAACUAAUUUUUCUGAAAAUCCCAUAUUUUGUUCUUCAUUUCGACAAAACACCUCAACAUUAAAUCCUUUAUUUAUAACCGUAUAAAUAAAUCCAUCAUUUAUAUCCACAUUAAAUAAAUAUUUUCUUAUCAUAUAAAUCAAUAAUUAUUCAUAAAUAUUACAGAAUCACAAUAAUGACAACUAGACAGUUUCCAGGAAAGAGAGGGCUUUCCAAUAAAGAUUUCUCCUUACUGGCGCGCAAUUAGGUGACCAAACCUCUCCUUGACAGAACUUUCUAGACAUUGCCAAUAAUGCUAUCUAAUAAUAUUAUUCAAAUAAUAUGAAUUAUUGAUCUGAUAAUGGGAAAUACUGUGCAGUGACAAUUAUUGAAACAACAAUAAUAUAAAAUAUCAACGCAGCAAUUAUUGAAUCAAUAAAAUAAAAUAUUGAACAGUAAUUACUGUAACAAUUAUUGAGUAGUGCCUUCUUACGUAAGAAUCAAUAAUUCAAGAAUAUUAUGCAAUACCGUGUGCUACUGUGCAACCACGCGUAUUACUGUAUUUUAACCACCAGGUAUUCCAACAAUGUUAACGGUAAAAAUUACGUCGUUAUUUAUAAACAUUCAAACUUGUCAUUUUCUUUAUUCGACAGUUAUUCUGUUAUGGGGCCCACAAAUGGUUGCGCCGUCGUACGAAUAUUCUCCGACAACAAGAAUAUUCCACGACCAAAUGAAUAUUCCCCGACAACCAAGACUAUUUUAUAACCACUUGCGUAUUUUGUAAACUUUGCACAUAUCACCCUUAACUUUAAACUUUUAUCAAUUUGACCAUUUACUGAAUAAUAAUUAUAAGAAAAAUUGAAUACUUUUAUUUCAUAAAAUUCGGGGUCUUACAAGGGCUCCCUUCUUUCGGUCUUUUAACGUUUUCUCAAGACUUAUGACCGUACAAAUUUUCCCCCGCCAGAGAAAAAAAGAAUUGUUUCUAUAUGUUGCGGCUUGCAAAGGUUGGGAUGACUUUUCUCAUUUCGAUCGCAUUCCCCGCAUAUGCAUUGAGAAACAAGAGUACCCUUUUAGUUUUAUUCGCUUCUUUCAGCAAAUCAUCUCCUUCGGAACGUACUUUAUGCUUCACUAGCAUAUGUUUCUGCCACUUCUAGGCUUCCUUGUGACGCCCCCAAAAUAAAUAUACAUCACCCAUUCUGAGUCACCAAAAACAUGGUACAAAAUUUAAAUACAACUUAAUUAUACAACUGUCGUGUAAAGUACGACAAAACAUAAGCUGAGAGUUUCAACAUGAAUAUUGUCUUCUAGACAAUAUCCAAACUCAAAUUUAAUAUUAUUACAUUUAUUUUCACACUAUUUCACAAAAUAGUGAUGACUAUUUAUACAAAUAUCUGGACUGUCACUCCGUUCUCGGACUAGUCCCAACUAUAUUCUCAUUUCCUGAAGAGAACAAUGAAAGCAAAGGGUGAGCUCAACUAGCCCAGUAAGAAAUAUUAAGACUAAGAUAAUGCAGAAUAAAUUAGCAUUAGCCUUCAACAGUGUUAAACUGAUAAAAUACAAUAGACAUCAAAUUUAACUGCAGCGAAACAAGCAAUCCAGUAGAAGAGUCAAGUAGAGCAUGAUAUCUACUAUCUUCUAUGAUUUAAAAAGUUUAUCAUCAAUUUUAUCACUGAGACUCAUCUUAAUAAAUAAUCCACAUCAUCCCUGCACUACGGGCCAAGGAUAUUCAUUAGUAUCACGACCACGAAUUAUCCAUGCACUACGGGCCAAGGAUAUUCGUAUUUUCAUCAACGGUCAUGAUCACACCAUAAAAUAAUUCAUCUUUGCACCCUUGGCCGAAGAAAACCCAUGGUCAUGAUCAUACCAAAAACUGUUCAUCAAUGCACUACGGGCCAAUGAAGACUUUUACCAUAUCAUUUGUAACAUUACGGUCAUGAUUAUACCGAAUAAUCACUGGUCAUAAUCAUACCAAUUCCAUCCAUGCACUAUGGCUAUAGAUGACUUUCAUCAUAAUAUAAGCACGAGGAUGAUGAAAAUGAUAUAAAAAUUCAAUCAAACGAGAUCAAGGAUAAAUAUUAAAGACUUUAAAUUUAUCCAAAGUUUAAAAACGUUCAAAUGGUCAACAUGAUACUACUUUGUAGAGUAAAAUUCAAGAAUAAUAAUGUAUCAAAAUUGAUUUGGAUCGAAAAGAAAUCAAUUUUUGUCAUAAAUAGUACCCCGAAUGAAUAGUACCCAAGUGAAUAGUACCACAUGAAUAGUAACCCCGUGAAUAGUACUCCGGUAUAAAAAAGUUAAAACUUAUCAAGAAUGCUCAGAAUAAUAUUUUCAUAAAAAGAUACUGGAUGAAGCGCAAAUAUCAAUGAUAUUCUACUAAUUUCAUGGAGUAUAGAAGCCAAAACUUUAACAAAAUGAGUGUAUAAUUCAAAAUCUGAAACGAAAUAAUAUUACUUACAUACUACAGAGUAUGGAAGAAAAUAUUAUUUCUUACGAAUAUUGAACAAAAAUAGUAUCAUUUACAACUGUUGAACGAAAAUAAUAUUCCUUACGAAUAUUAAACGAAUAUAAUAUUCCUUACGAAUACGAAAUAUUGAACGAAGAUAAUAUUUCUUGCGAAUAUUGAACGAAAUAAAAUUUCUUACGAAUACGAAAAAUAAUAUCGUAAGCGAAUAUGAAAUAAAUAAUACCCCUUAUCUUAAAAAGAAGAGUAUUUCGACUGGUAUAGCGGGGAUAUUCUUGAAGAAAACUUUUACUAUUUUCUACACUCAAAGCUUCCUUAAACUCUAAAGAAAUACGCUCAAUAUUAUAGAAGAAGAAUUCUCUAAUUCUGGUGUGAUUUUCAAUUCUAACUAAGCAUCCUAGUUAUAGGAGAAUGAAAAUGAUACUAUUUGAGCGAACAGUGGGGGAAGAAUCGCGGGCGCAAAUUUGAAUUCGUCUGAUAAUUUCAUUCUUUACUAUGCAAAUACUAUGUAGGCACUAUGCAAAUACUAUGCAUAAUAAAAUAUAAUAUAUUCUAUUUUUCAUAAAAAAAACAAAAUUUAUUAUAAUAUAUAUAUAAAAUAAGCAUAGUACUCCCACCCGUGAAUCCAAUACUCCAUCCCCUGACAAUUCAUUUUUCUACAUGUGGGCCCCACAUGUGGCCCCAACUUUAUUAUAUUGAAUAACUUUAUACCGAUUAUUUUGAAAAUUGGGUAAAUGGAGAUCCAAAUAAUAAGCAAAAUUUACCACAAAUACAUCAUAAAAAUCUCCUUAAUAUUUUUAACAAUAUUUAUUCAUUAUUAUUAUAACUCGCAAUAUUAACAACAAGAUUGUUCCCAGGAAAGAGGGGGCUUUCUGAUAUAAGGAUUUCUCCCUAUUGGCGCGCAAUUAGAUGACCAAACCCUUUCCUCGAUAGAACUUUCUAGACAUUGUUAAUUAUGCAGAUAAUAAUAUGAAUAACUUUUCAUCUCAAUUAUUGAUUUAAUAAUAUAUAAAAUAUCAAAAAUAAUUGAAUCAAAUAACGUGAGAUACUAUGCAGCAAUUACUGUAGCAAUAAUUGAACAAAACUGAGUGACUUCUCACGUAAGCAUUAAUAAUCAAUACCGUGUGCUACUAUGCAACCACGCGUAUUACUGUACUUUUAACACCGGAUAUUUCAACAGUUAACGAUAAAACUUUCGCCGUUAUUUUUAUAAAAAGAUAUUUAUGUCAUUUUCUCAUUCCGACGAUAAUUCCAUUGUGGGGUCCACCAAUAAUUGUGCCGUCAUACUAAUAUUCCCUGUUAAAACGAAUAUUCUCCGACCAAUCGAAUAUUAUAUAACAACUUGCUUACUUUAUAAAAUUUAUAAAUACUACCCAACUAUAACAUUAUAUUAAAUCCACACCUUAAUAUUCAAAAAAAUAUUUCGAGAAAAUUAAUCUUUAUUCAUAAAAUUUGGGGUCUUACAACCUCCCCUUCUUAUGAAAUUUCAUCCUUGAAAUUUGCGUACGUACCUGGUAUGUCGAAGAGGUGAGGACACCUCAUCCACAUAUUUACGUAACAUUAAUACGUGAAAAACGUUAUGAACACGCGACAUACUUGGCGGUAAAGCGAGUCUAUAGGCCACAGUUCCUACUCGAUCGAGGAUUUUAAAUGGACCAAUAAAAUCGAGGUUUGAGAUUUUCUCUCUUCGUCGAUUCUUGCUUUUAGAAUAACGCCUUCUUGCACCUUAUUCUUCAUAUUCAUCGGCUCUAAUUCUGUAGCUUAAGAUUUCUUCCCUCAUAUAUGUCUAUUUCACCCAAAUCUAUUCCCUUUUCCAUUUGUUUCCAAAACUCCAACAAGAGGGAUACACUACAUGUUUAAAUAAAUGGAAAAAGUAAAUGGCAUUGAUCAAACAGGCUAGAGAGUAAUCCCGUGUUUCUACACAGGUCAAAAGAUGCCCAUAUUUGAUAGACCACAACAAUAAAAAUAUAAACCAUCUGCUCAAUAGAGGAAGGGUUGCAAUUAGGUUUCCAUUCUGCUCUACCAAAAUCUCAACAGAAAUAAAAACUGGCAGUUUAAAUUAGGGGAAAACAUUUACAUGCAUCAGACACACUAAAGAUGAAGGCAACUAUAAUACAUGGCACACUAAUUAAAAAAGAUUAGAUUAGACAUAAGCAUCACCCUGUUACUAAAUUAUAACUUAAAAGUCUUAGAAUAUCAUUUCACCUUGAGGAUCAAACUGGUUAUCUGAUGGAGGGCAUUCUCUGCAUCAGUAAACAUGUCCUCACUGUCUUUGGAGCUUAUGAUGAUUACACGUUCUUCAUGUCGCUGAAAAUUACACGAAAGAAUAUGAAUAUCCACCUUUUCAGUCUACAGAUAAUCAAGGAUACUGCAGAGAAAUUUACCCAUCACAAAAGAGAGCGGAGUGAUUGAACAAGUAGAAAGGAUUUAAGAUCCAUCAAAUUAAAAUAUUUAAGUACAAUACCACUUCAAUUAAUUAGUCAUCUCAAAAGAAACAGCUCGCAUGCAUGCUUUUCUCAUUUUAUACUUCUGAAGCAUCAUGUUUGGGAAAAAAACAUAAAGAUACCUCUUAUAGUAAAAUUGGCCCAAAAAAAAUUGAAAGCAAAGAUAAAUAAACUAAACAAAGCUAGGGACUUUUUCCUCUAAUAGGCCCAAAUGAUCAUAGAACAACGAACUACAUCACAAACUAUUUCAAAUAGAAUCAUACAAAUGUGGCACUAACAUAACAGGAAAACUGUACUUGAUGCACAAGAAUAAAUAAAAAAUAUUACCUCCCAGACAUAGUUGUCGAUUUAGUCGUUUUAGAGCCACUCAAUUUGCUCAAAAUUUCUUUAUCAACAACACUUACAAGCUUCCCCAAAUUCUUGUAUUGCGAACUAUAGUUAGAGCCCCCAUUAUUAGCAAUAUAUUCCCCAACACUGCAGAUAAGCCCCAACCCCAACAACCACAAUUAAUUCCAGGAUAAUUCAGCAACACUAAGACAUAAACCUGUAACAAGAAAACCUAAAAAAAACAGAAUCACUAUCUAAUCAAAUUUCAAAGAAGAAUAUCAAAUCACUAUCAAGACAAACAGAAUCACUAUCUAAUCAAAACAGUUUCACCUCAGCAGAACAAAUCUCCCAGACAAAGCGCUAAAUCUUUAGGAUAUGAAACAAUUAUGACAAAACUACAAGCUCCAUAAAUUAAUCACUAACCUUCCUUAAUCUUUUCAGGAUCAUAACCACUGAAACAACAACCAAUAAAAACAAGACAACCCAAAUAAUCAAAAAUAAAGUUAAACAAAACAAACACCCAAUUGAUGAGAAUCAUAACUCAAAAAGAUUAAACAAAUUAAACACCCAAUUCAUAAUUCACAAACCCAGAAAAAUGAGACAAAUCCGGUACUGUUGACCAUCUCUUGAUAGUCCAAAAAUAGAUCCUUCGGAACCCUAAAUGCGUCGUGUGCACACAUGAUGGCCAAUCUGACGAGUGAACUAUCAAAGGGUAGAGACGAGAAGCGAUUGAGUGAGAAGGCAACGAGGACCAAGAGAGAGAGGGCAACGAGGACCAUGGGAGAGAGGGCAACGAGCGGCUAGGAGGGCAACGAGGACCAGGAGAGAAAGGGAAGAUCGAGUGAGUGAGAAGAGAGUUGAUUUGAUUUGGGGGAAACAUUACAUAUUAAUUUGGGGAAAAAAGGAGGAAUUUAUGGAAAAAGAGCUCUAUCCCGAUGGUCAGCCGUCGCUAUUGAUAUCCUAUUGUGACGGCUCCGUUCCAACCGUCGCUAUAGCUCGUCGCUAUAGGUUAAAUUUUUAGUAGUGUCUCUUUCACAAUUGAAAUACGCUUUGAGUUGCUGCGUACAGUUUGGACAGAUGUGUCCCUCCUGUCCGCAUUUGAAACAUAUGACCAGUGGUCGUUCUUCUUCCUUAACAACGUGUGUUGGUGUUGACGUCUUUCCAUCAUUAUUGAAUCUCCUUUUCUUGAAAUGUCCACUUUUAUUAUCUUGUCCAUGAUUACCACCGAAGUAGUUACCAUUUCUGGCCUAUUGAUUCCCUCCACGUUUGUUGUCACCGCUUCGAUGACUGCUACCACUGGUAUUAUCAUUUUGCUGGUUGCUCUUUCUUGGUUGGGUUGACUUAUUAUCGUGCUCUAAUAACUGAGCCCUAUUUACAACAUCUGAAUACAAGCAAAGUUUGUGAGAAAUGAGGUAUUGACGUAUUUCGGGUUUCAAACCUUGCAAAAACAUUCGCGUCAUUCUCUCCUCAUUAUCUACCAAAUGAGAUGCAAACCGGGAUAACUCGGUAAACUUAGCCUCGUAUUGCGACACGGUCAUAUUGUUUUGCUCCAGCUUGAUGAACUCUACCUCCUUCAUGUGACGAAUAUUUUCGAGAAGGUACUUGUCGUUGAACAAUUCUUGAAAAUUCUCCCAAGACAUCUUCAGUGCAGCAGGCUGGGUACGUUUUAUAGAUUCCCACCAAUAAUCUGUCUCUCCUCGCAACAUGAAGGUGGCAAAGGGAACCUUUUGUUCCUCAAAGCAUCCCAAGACAUCAAAUAUCUUGGUGAUCUGCUUUAUUCACGUCUCCGCCUUAAGUGGUUUUGGCUCUCCCAAAAACUCCGGUGGUCCCAGCUCUUUGAACUGCUUACCGGUGACCGUCCGAGAGUUGGCAGUGUUUCCACCUGUAUUUUGGACAGGGGUCUCUCUCGCCUGAUGUUGCAUGAAUUGUUGAAAGCCCCUAAACAUUUCGUCGUUCAUUAUUUGGUCAGUGUUAUUAUUUGCAUGAGGAUUGUUGCCUUCCUGAUGCACAAUUUCCUGAUCGUUGGUGAUUCAACAGUCUCAUGUGCUCCAUUGUUAUUCUCAACAUUCUCGGAUGUCAUUUUCAAAUACUGCCACAAAACAAGGGUUAAUUGACAUGCAACAUAUUAUCCCUAUAUUUUGACCUACCAAUUAAAUAACAAAUAAACUUAGGUAGGUCAAACUAGCGAAGAAAUUACUUUUCCCUCCCCUCCUAGUUUUAGUCUCACAUCUCAGCCAGGGAUCAUAUCCCUAAGCUUUGAUAGCAACUGUGAUGCCCCCAGAAUAGGUAUACAUCACCCAUUCUCAGUCUCCAAAAACAUGGUACAAAAUUCAAAUACAACUUAAUUAUACAACUGUUGUGUAAAGUACGACAAAACAUAAGCUGUGAGUUUCAACAUGAAUAUUGUCUUCUAGACAAUAUCCAAACUCAAAUUCAAUAUUAUUACAUUUAUUUUCACACUAUUUCACAAAAUAGUGAGGACUACUAAUGCAAACAUCUGGACCGUCACUCCGUUCUCCGGCUAGUCUCAGCUAUAUUCUCAUUUCUUGAAGAGAACAAUGAAAUCAAAGGGUGAGCUCAACUAGCCCAAUAAGAAAUAUUAUGACUAAGAUAAUGCAGAAUAAAUUAUCGUUAGCCUUCAAUAGUGUUAAACUAAUAAAAUACAUAGACAUCAAGUUUAACUGCAGCGGAACAAGUAAUCCAUUAGAAGAGUCAAGUAGAGCAUUAUAUCUACUAUCUUCUAUGAUUUAAAGAAUUUAUCAUCAAUUUUAUCGCUGAGACUCAGCUUAAUAAAUAAUUCACAUCAUCCCUACACUACGGGCCAAGGAUAUUCAUUAGUAUUACGACCACGAAUUAUCCAUGCACUACGGGCCAAGGAUAUUCAUUAGUAUCACGACCACGAAUUAUCCAUGCACUACGGGCCAAGGAUAUUCGUGUUUUCAUCAACGGUCAUGAUCAUGCCAUAAAACAAUUCAUCUUUGCACCCUUGGCCGAAGAGAACCCAUGGUCAUGCUCAUACCAAAAACUGUCCAUCAAUGCACUACGGGCCAAUGAGGACUUUUACCACAUCAUUUGUAACAUUACGGUCAUGAUUAUACCGAAUAAUCCCUGGUCAUAAUCAUACCAAGUCCAUCCAUGCACUACGGCUACAGAUGACUUUCAUCAUAAUAUAAGCAUAAGGAUGAUGAUAAUGAUAUAAAAAUUUAAUCAAACGAGAUCAAGGAUAAAUAUUAAAGACUUUAAAUUUAUUCAAAGUUUAAAAAAACGUUCAAAUAGUUAACAUGAUACUGCUUUGUAGAAUAAAAUUCAAGAAUAAUAAUGUAUCAAAAUUGAUUUGGAUCGAAAAGAAAUCAAUUUUUGUCAUAAAUAGUACCCCGGGUGAAUAGUACCCGAGUGAAUAGUACCAUAUAAAUAGUACUUCAGGAAUAGUAACCCCGUGAAUAGUACCCCGACAUGAAAAAGUUAAAACUUAUCAAGAAUGCUCAGAAUAAUAUUUUCAUGGAAAGAUAUUGGAUGAAGCGCAAAUAUCAAGGAUGUUCUACUAAUUUCAUGGAGUAUAGAAGCCAAAACUUUAACAAAAUGAGUGUAGAAUUCAAAAUCUAAAACAAAAUAAUAUUACUUACAUACUAAAGAGUAUGGAAGAAAAUAUUAUUUCUUACGAAUAUUGAACAAAAAUAAUAUCCUUUACAACUGUUGAACGAAAAUAAUAUUCCUUUCGAAUAUUAAACGAAUAUAAUAUUCCUUACGAAUAUUAAACGAAUAUAUUGUUUCUUGCGAAUAUUGAACAAAAUAAAAUUUCUUACGAAUACGAAAAAUAAUAUCUUAAGCGAAUAUGAAAUAAAUAAUACCCCUUACCUUAAAAAGAAGAGUAUUUCGACUGGUAUAGCGGGGAUAUUUUUGAAGAAAAUUUCACUAUUUUUUACACUCAAAGCUUCCUUAAACUCUAAAGAAAUCCGCUCAAUAUUAUAGAAAAAGAAUUCUCUGAUUCUGGUGUGAUUUUCAAUUCUAACUAAGCAUCCUAUUUAUAGAAGAAUGUAAAUGAUACUAUUUGAGGGCACAGCGGGAGAAGAAUCACGGGCGAAAAUUCGAAUUCGUCUGAUAAUUCCAUUCUUUAUUAUGCAAACACUAUGCAUAAUAAAAUAUAAUAUAUUCUAUUUUUCAUAAAAAACAAAACUUAUUAUAAUAUAUAUAUAUAUAUAUAUAUAUAUAUAUAUAUAUAUAACAAUCAUAGUACUCCCACUCGUGAAUCCAAUACUCCAUCCCCUGACAAUUCAUUUUUCUACACGUGGGCCCCACAUGUGGCCCCACCUUUAUUAUAUUGAAUAACUUUCUACCGAUUAUUUUGAAAAAUGAGUAAAUGGAGAUCCAAAUAAUAAGAAAAAUUUACCACAAAUACAUCAUAAAAAUCCCCUCUAUAUUUUUAACAAUAUUUAUUCAUUAUUAUUAUAACUCGCAAUAUUAACAACCAGAUCGUUCUCAGGAAAGAGGGGGCUUUCCGAUAAGGAUUUCUCCCUAUUGGCGCGCAAUUAGAUGACCAAACCCCUUUCCUCGACAGAACUUUCUAGACAUUGUUAAUUAUACAGAUAAUAAUAUGAAUAACUUGUCAUCUCAAUUAUUGAUUUAAUAAUAUAUAAAAUAUCAAAAAUAUUUGAAUCAAAUAAUGUGAGAUUCCAUGCAGCAAUUACUGUAGCAAUAAUUGAACAAAACUGAGUGACUUCUCACGUAAGCAUCAAUAAUCAAUACAGUGUGCUACUAUGCAACCACGCAUAUUACUAUACUUUUAACACUGGGUAUUUCAACAGUUAACGGUAAAACUUUCGCCGUUAUUUUUAUAAAAAGAUAUUUCUGUUAUUUUCUCAUUUCGACAAUAAUUCUGUUGUGGGUUCCACCAAUGAUUGUGCCAUCGUACGAAUAUUCCCUCUUAAAAUGAAUAUUUCCCGACCAAUCGAAUAUUCUAUAAUAACUUGCUUACUUUGCAAAAUUUAUAAAUAUUGCUCGCAACUAUAACAUUAUAUCAAAUCCACACCUUAAUAUUCAAAAAAUUAUUUUGAGAAAAUUAAUCUUUAUUCAUAAAAUUUGGGGUCUUAUAUUCUUCCCCACGGGUUUCAUCUUGGGUAAUUACUCUUGAACUCCUCCCCGGGGAUCCUCUAAUGCCGAGGAGAUGAGAGUUUCUCACUCUAGGGCGAAUACCACCACUUACUAUUUAUAGGGUGGUGUUCCCCGUAGGUUCUAUUAUAGAUCCAGCUGGUCAUGACAUCAUUAGGCGAACGAUGAAAGAGAAAGCACUUAUCCUGAAGCCAUUUUCCAAGAGCCCAAAUGAUGAUAUUUGUUUUAGCAUACCAACAGUCGAUGAUCCAGUUAAGAGACACAUGAAACUUUUGAUAUGCUUUAUGUUAUUUGUUUCUUUCAAAUAUUUUCAUGAUUGCCUUAUUAUUCAGGUUGUCGAUGAUGAUGAUGAUGUUUCUAUUAGAUUUGUUAUGGGUACGACAAGUGAGGUGGCGACGUUCACUACUUGUGAGCCUUUUCGAUCUAUUUUGAUUGUUGUCAAGUCCUCUUCACCACAUAAUGAUAGUUUCAAUCUUGAUGAAGACGACUCCUUGUUUAAUGUGGUCUCAAGUCCUGCUGUGGAUAAUACAGUUCCCUCUUUCUACCCACAUACAUCCUCUCUUUAUGACGGCUUCGAGGGUACUGAUGAUACUCUUAUUUAUACUGACGAUACUAUUUCCAUGAAUCCUCCUCCCCCGAGGGAGAAUCCUUCAGAGUCCGUUGCUGAUUUCUAUCCUCCCCAGAAGGAUUCUGCUGAGAUGUCGACUUGCCAUGUUUCUGUCCAUUGAAGACCUUUUGAUUACCAAGCACAUGGGUCAGGUAUAACAUAAAGCUUUUUUAAUUCUGUAAAUAAGCACACCUAGAGCUGGGGUGAAUUGGUGUACAAACCCACAAGUGAUUAACAAUGGAAAAUUUUUAAAGUUUAUAACUACAGACUAUAAUCGGAUAGGUAACCCCCUUAUGUUUUAGUAUAUGUUCUUCGUCAAUUAUAAUCGAACAGAUAAUCCCUGUCUGUUUUAGUAUAUGUUCUUCAUCAAUUAUAAUCGGACAGCUAAUACCUUUCAUUUUUAGUGUAUCUUCAAGAACACGGGUUAGAACUAAAUAUGUAGAAUAAAGUACAGAUUAAGAAGGAAAACAAAAUAGAAAUCACACCAAGAUUUUUACGUGGUUCAACCCCUAUACUCUAAUCUAGUGGCCUAAUCCACAUCUAAUACCAACUAGUAUUAGAGACACUUUUUUAUUAAAACUUAAUAUUCAAAAGAUUACAGAAAACUAUAUGUACAACGAAGAUCGAUUCUGAUUUAGACACCUCUGCCCCUUUUGCACCUCUGCAACUUCUCUUACCUAUGAGACCUUGAUGCUUCUAUUGUACAGACUAAAUAUUGCACGAUUACUCAAGCCAACCUAGAAUUUGUACUUGGUUUACAAGAGAUAUGAUAUGAAGAUUACAACAACUUUCCAGUUAACAAUAAUGUAAGAGAUUACAAUCAAAACUGGAGUUUAGAAUUGUAAAAAACUUUUCAGAAUAUGUUCAGUAGUAAAUUUCAGCUUCCCGUGUUGUGUAUCCUUUUACCGAGCAUGAAGACCAUAUAUAGAGACGUGAGCAACGGCUAGAAUGAAACUGUCACCAAGAAAGGCUCAACCAAGAAUUUCAUUCUCAAAAAACUAUUAGUACUAACGAUUAUAUAAAAUUCAGCAUAAUAAAGAUAAGAAUAAAAUAUGUACUGAAUUAAAUCAGUUAAAAAGAUAUUAAAGAUAUAGCCCACAUAACCUUUAACAACAUGUUUCCUUGAAAGUCUCAACUAUCAACUUAAAACAUGUUCCUUAAUUAAUCAAUCUCCUUAAAACACUCCAAUUCGAAUUGGUUUUCAUAACUAAAAAGAUUUAGAUAUAGCAACAAAAUAAAUAUUAAAAGAUAUUCUACAGUUAUAUCAGUUUCCAUAAAGGACUGUAACAGAUGGCAUCAUAUUCCUUAACAGUUUCAAAUUAAAACAACCUGUUUUAGUAAUAUUUAUAAAUUACAGAAAUAAGUAACACUCCAAUCUGCAGUAAAUUCCUUUGGGCUAGAAAUAUGUUAUGCAUUCUUCCAGGUUAUCUUAGGUGAAUAAUACAAAAUGGGACCAUGCAAUCCAUAAAAUAUAAUCCAUACAAAGCAAUAGAUUAUAUUAUUUAAUCAACCCAUUAUGAAAUCAGCCCAUAAUAUAAUCCAUGCAAUCCAUAAAAUAAACAACAUAUUGGACCAUGACUUAACCAAACUGACUAUACAUUAUUUUUCAACAAACCAUAACAAAGUCAAUUUCAACCCAUUUAAUAACUCAUAUAGUUUAGCAUAUUGUCAUCAUUAAAAUUAAAAAAUAUAAAUACCAACCCCUUCAUCCCAAUGUACCUUCCCCUCAUGAUUAAACUUGAUUACCUUGUUGCUCAAGUUGGUGAGAAUUUGGUGGAUCGAUCCGUAGAAUAACUCUAAUCAACUCCACUAGGACGUCGUUGGUUACAUAUCAUUUCUUGGCCUGAAUUUGAUAGUUUCCAACUUCAUACCUUCGACUCAAACUUGGAAAGGUCAAGGAUGUCAUUAAUAAGUUGAAGAACCAAACCUCCCGAAGAUAUAUAAUAUGACACUCAACAGUUGUCUUUGCUCUUUGUUAAGCUUUGUGGUUGAAAGAAUCUCAGACCAAACUUCAAGAAUUCGAGUCUGCUGCUCGAGACCUUAAGGGAUCAUAAUAGCCUUCAAUAUAAAAGCUUGGGAUACUGUCAUUGCCAACUUGGAGGUUUUAGCUAUGCCCCCUAUUUAGUUUGAUAUAUCAUGACCUCUAGAUCAUGACCUUUUGUAUGUUUUCAUUUCCUGUUUCAAAAAAAAACAUGCAUUUAAUUAGAGAAAAUAUGAAUUCUUUCAUCAAAAAAUAUUAUAUAUAUAUAUAUAGUCUUUUGAUUUCUUGUAAACCAAUUACUUGAAUUCAUACUUUUUUUUCUUCUAAAAAAUAAGAAGUUGCCAAAGUAUAAGUGAAAGUUUGGCACUUUAUUGAUAAUCUGAUUGCUUUUAAUGAAGAGCAUAACUUUUUAGAUUUUCAAUAUAAUAAAUCUUUCUUUUUGUUGGAAAAAGCAUAAUGUUCGCCACUUUUAGAGAUAAAGAGUAACUUUCUCGGGGUAGAGGGCUUAUGCUCAGGUGCCUCAAUCACUUUUAAAGUUGAAAGUGUAACUGGUCACGUCCAAGGACUUAUAGUCAGGUGCCUCGAUUACUUUUGAAGUUGAAAGUAUAACUUUUCUAGUCCGAGAACUUAUAGUCAGGUGCCUCGAUUACUUUUGAAGUUAGAAGUAUAAUUUUUUGGUCCGAGGACUUAUAGUCAGGUGUCUCAAUUACUUUUAAAAUUGAAAGUAUAACUCUCUUUUUUUGUCUGAGGACUUAUAGUCAGGUGCCUUAAUUACUUUUGAAGUUGAAAGUAUAAUUUUUUUGGUCCGAGAACUUAUAGUCAGGUGCCUCGAUUACUUUUGAAGUUAAAAGUAUAAAUUUUUUUUAAGUGAUGACCAUAUCAUGUGUAAUAUUUCUUAACCCAUUUGCCUUGAGAUAACAUCUGAUCUCACACAAGAUAUUUUCCAAUACCCGCAUUCAGAGAUCUCUCGUACCCAAACGUGCCUUCCCAUUUGGGGAAAAAAUUUGGUUCCUCUCACGACUUGAUUCGCUGCCUUAAGCACCAAGUCUCCCAAGAGAAUUUGUCAUGGUACUACUACAGUAUUGUAUUGUCAUCACAGCUUUUCAUGGUACCAUUCAAACUUUCCUUGUUGCGUUAUCUCGGAAGUCGGCUAAGGCCCCUAGAGCAGCCGAUCCGUUCUCUUCCUCGAUUAAGCUUCUGAGUUUCAUUCUGGUCGUAAAGAUUUCUAAUUCUGCGGUCAAGACAACUUCUUCACCAUAUACCAAAAUGUAUAGGGUUUUGCCCGUAAGCUUUCUUUUUUGUAGUUUGAUAAGCCUAUAAUGAUGUCUUCAGGUGAUCAUCAAGGAUUUUCGAAUGAAUCUUGAUCACAAUUUUGUUCGUGAACUUUACUUGUUUGUUUCCUUUGGGUAAUAAAGUUGUGAUUUAUAUAUAGUGUUUCACCCUGUAUCUCUUCAACAGAUUCUUGACAUCCCUAUUGAUGGAGAGAGUUCUAUUAUCUGAAAAGAUGUUUGGAUAGUGACCUGUUUAGCACGAUGUUUCAUUUUCCAAUUCAAUUUCACCUGUUGCUAACUUUUCGUGGUAGAUCCUUCGCAGAUUGUAACAGUUUAUGGUGAAGUCUUUUGCGUGUUGAUGGUACACGCAGAAGUCUGGUCUCUUUUUCAUUUCUUUUGUCACAACAAAUCUGGGCUUUGGAGUUUUCACCACUUCUGUAAGACCCCAACUUAUUAUAAAUAAAAUUAAAUUUUCUCUAUUCAUUAUUCUAAAUUAAUAAGGUGUUAAUUUAAUAUAAUGCUUUGGUUAUGGGUGAAAUGUGCAAAUUUUACAAAAUAAACAAGUGGUUAUAAAAUAUUCAUUUUUUUCGGGGAAUAUUCUUUUGGUCGUGGAAUAUUCUUUUUGUCGGGGAAUAUUCGUACGACGGCGCAGCCAUUCGUGGGGCUCAUAACAGAAUAACUGUCGGAUGAAGAAAACGACAAAGUAUGAGUUUUUAUAAAUAACGGCGUAGUUGUUACCGUUAACACUGUUGGAAUACCUGGUGGUUAAAAUACAGUAAUACGCGUGGUUGCACAGUAACACAUGGUAUUACACAGUAUUAUUGAAUUAUUGAUUCGUACGUAAGAAUGCACUACUCAAUAAUUGUUACAGUAGUUACUGUUCAAUAUUUUAUUUUAUUGAUUCAAUAAUUGCUGCGUUGAUAUUUUAUAUUAUUGUUGUUUCAAUAAUUGUCACUGCAUAGUAUUUCCCAUUAUCAGAUCAAUAAUUCAAAUUAUUUGAAUACUAUUAUUAGUAAACAUUAUUGGCCAUGUCUAGAAAGUUCUGUCUAAGGAGAGGUUUGGCCACCUAAUUGCGCGCCAGUAAGGAGAAAUCCUUAUUGGAAAACCCCCUCUUUCCCGGGAAUUGCCUGGUUGUCAUAAUUGUGAUUCUGUAAUAUUAUUUGUGAAUAAUUAAUUAUUGAUUUAUAUGAUAAGAAAAUAUUUAUUUGCUAUGGAUAUUAAUGAUGGAUUUAUUUAUGUGGUUAUAAACGAAGGAAUUAAUGCUGAGGUGUUUUAUCAAUAUUUUGUCAGAAUGGAGGUAUUAAAAAUCAUCCGUUUGUGGAUUUUGGAUAUUUUUUGUUUGGAAUUUGGAAAAACUCAAAGCUACAAAGUUGUAGAGAAUUUGAUUUCGUGUGGAAUGAACAUAAAAUUCGUAUUUUUUUGACAAACGGACUAUUUUCUAUGAAUUACUGAAGUUUCGGAAAAUAAAAUGAUUUUUAUUAAAUUAUGGGUGAGACCCACUUUUUGGUUAGUGUUGAAUGCACAUGGGCUGCUGAAAAUUUUCUGAAUUGGUGGCUAGCUUGCUUGCGUAUAAGAAAGAAUAAGAAAUAAUAAUAUUCUAUUAUUUUAGUCUCCUUUGGCGUUCUAACAUUUUCCUAUAAAUAGGCGCUUAGGUUAGAAUUGAAAAUCACACCAGAAACAAGUUUUCUUUCUCUCUAGAUUAUCGAGCGUAUUUUUGUGAGUAUUUAUAUACUUUGAGAGUUGCUGUUUGGUACAAGAUUCCUUCGUUUUUAUAUCCGAUAUUUCGAUCAGAAGUACCGUUAUUUUGAGGUAAGGGAUGUUAUUUUCUUUCGAAAUGAUAUUAAUUUCUUUAAUAUCAUUAAGCCAAAAUAUUGGUUUGAACUUUUUAAUCAAAUUUGGAACUUUUUGUGUCGGAGUUACUAUUCACGUAUACAACACUAUUCACGUAUACGACACUAUUCACAGAAAAAUAAAAAUUUUCCUUUUUGUCCAAGAUGUCUAUUUUGGCUACCAUCUUUGAUUGUAUCCAUGUUUUGAUCAUUAUUUUUGAAUUUUGCUUCACAAUUGGUUAUUAUGAAGUAUUUUUGAUCUUGGAUAAACUGUUAUACGAAUCCCUAAUAUUUGUCCUUCUGUCUCACUGGAUUCAUUUUUUUUAAAAUAUUUUUCAUCAUCCUCAGUCUUAAAUGAUGAUAUUACUGAAUAUUUUUGGCCUGUAGUGCAAAGAUGAAUGAUUAACUGAUGAAUAUCUUUGGCCCGUAGUGCAAAGAUGAACAGGUGUUGAGAUGAACAUGACCAACUGGUGAUACAAAUGAAUAUCUUUGGCCUGUAGUGCAAAGAUGAAUAUUUGAUUAAAGAUGUAUAUUGAUUGUUGUUACAGGGAUAAAAUAUUGAUGAUGAACUUUUAAAUCUUAGAAGAUAGUAGAAUUCAUUCUCUACGUGACUCUUCUAAUGGAUUGUUGUUUCCGCUGCAGAAUAUUGAUCUAAAACUUGUUGUCUAUUAUAUUCUAUCAGAUUUUUCCCUGUUGAAGACUAAUGAUAAUUUGUUGUAUAUUAUCUUAGUCAUAAUAUUCUUUACUGGGCUAGUUGAGCUCACCCUUUUCCUUUUUGUUCCAUUUUUCUUCUCAGGAGGAGAGAACAUAGCAGGAUCUAGUCGGGGUAUGGAGUGAUGGUUCUAGAAAGAUGUUUUAGUAGUCCUCACUAUUUCUGUAAAAUAGUGUAUGAAUAAUUGUAAUGAGGACUUAUUUGAGUGUUGAUAUUGUCUAGAAGAUAAUAUUUGUAUUUAAACUCACAGUAUGUGUUGUCGUAUUUUACAUGACAUUUGUUUUAUUGAAGUUGUAG
rnacentral:lncRNA from 1 species